rnacentral:rRNA from 1 species
AGACGAAGGUGGCGACCGUUGUUCGGAAUCACUGGGCAUAAAGAGCACGUAGGCGGAUGUGUAAGUCGGGUGUGAAAUCCCUCGGCCUAACCGAGGAAUUGCGCCCGAAACUGCGUGUCUUGAGGGCAGGAGGGGAGCGUGGAAUUCCUGGUGGAGCGGUGAAAUGCGUUGAUAUCAGGAGGAACACCGGCGGCGAAGGCGACGCUCUGGCCUGCUUCUGACGCUGAGGUGCGAAAGCCAGGGGAGCAAACGGGAUUAGAUACCCCGGUAGUCCUGGCCGUAAACGAUGGGCACUAGGUAGGGGGGUCCCAAUGCCUCCCUGCUGGAGAUAAUUUUUUAAGUGCCCCGCCUGGGGAGUAUAGUCGCAAGGCUGAA